rnacentral:rRNA from 1 species
UACGAACUGUGCGAACGUUAUUCGGAAUCACUGGGCUUACAGGGUGCGUAGGCGGCUUGUUAAGUAGGGUGUGAAAGCCCCCGGCUCAACCGGGGAAUUGCGCCCUAAACUGGCGAGCUGGAGUGAGAUAGGGGUGUGUGGAACUUCCGGUGGAGCGGUGAAAUGUGUUGAUAUCGGAAGGAACGCCGGUGGCGAAAGCGACACACUGGAUCUUGUCUGA